UCUCACUCUAUGUUUGCUGUGUGGAUGUUAACACCCAAGAUGAUAUGGGGAGCCAUUGCAAUAAAAAUGGCAAAACCUCCUUUAGACUGGGUUCUUGAGUAACUGAGCAGAGCUUUCAUCCCAGGCAGCCACUGUUUCCAGGACCCACCACCCAGCCAUCUCACCAUCCUAAAACCAGAAAUCUUCCAAAAUGUCUUCUGAUCCCUCAACCCUACAUCCAACCAGAAGUCAAGGACUGCAUGAGGCAGAUACUGCCAACCUACCUGUUUCAGAAGUGAGAACACUAGGACUCGGAGACAGCACAUGUCGUACAUGGGAAUCUGAGGAAUGCAGUUUUUAAAUGUUUCCUUAUUCCUGAAGCACUGAAGGGCUACUGGAGAAAGUGGAAUACUGAUGCUGAGUGUCAAACUACUACCAAGUAUCCUUGCCAAGUUAACUCAUCUACCCUGAUGAAAAGCUGAAAACCUUGGUCGAGGUUUUGAAAUUCAAAGUUUUUUAUAAAAAUGAAUAAAUAAUAUAGUCUUCUUUCAUAAUUUUGACCUGUCUCUCAGCAAGCUGUCCAUUAUCUCGUGAUGAUACUCUCAUGUCUUUUAGACUUUAGUAGAGAAACCCAGCAGCUAUGGAGCCUCCCUCUGAACAGGGACACAUCUUAAUUGCCAUGCACCUAGUGUUCUGCACCAAGCAUGCUAAGCUGGUUGUAUCAUAGAAGACUGUAGAGUGGAGUGGGU
rnacentral:lncRNA from 10 species